GUGAGCGGAGAGAGGGACCAAGGAUGCUGGCAAGGUUCGGGGCUCACACAGCUGCAAGGACGGGCCUGGGGUCCCCGCGGUGACUGAACAGGGGUAAAGGCAGAGCCAAAAGGCUCUGCCAAAAGGCAGAACCAGUGCGGCAGCAGGAGAAGUGCUGCAGAUUCCAGGCUGGCAAGCUGAGUCUGGGCAGGGGAUGGGGUCGCCAGAGCCAUGGGAUGCUUUGGUUGCCCUUCUUCUCUGCGGCUCCCGAGGGACAUCCCGUGACUCAUCUCACUCUGGAGCCAAGGGGAUCCGUCACCUGGAUGGGGAGCUGCUGUGCCUCUGGGGAUUAUGCCCUCGGCAGACAGACAUCCGAGGUCUCCCUCUGCAGAUUCCUUGGUGCAGAUUUGCCAGAAAAUGACCUAAAGGUACCCGCGUACUCACAUCCAGUGCAUCGGAGGAGAAGAGCCAGGCCUGCAGGAUGCCGCCCACUCAGGCCCAGAAGACCCCAGCCAGCCCGCCCCAAGGUGACUCCCAUUCUGUUCCCUCCAGGCGGGCCCCUCCCUCCUGAGAGCUCAGCCCGGAAGAGCACCUCCCUGAA